UGUUAAUGUACUUUUCAGAAAAAGAAGAAGUGAAAAUCUAUCAAGCCUGAUAUUAUGAGAACUGAACUUUGCAAGCAAUAGUUCGAAGGUCAAUCUCAGGACCAAUCUAAUCAAGAGAUUUUAACCAUCUUCAUCGCAUGUGUUUAGUGAACAAACUGACUGAAUGAGGAUCUUUAACAGUAUCCAACUUUGAGGAUGUAUCAGAGCAAUGAAGUUUUCUUAGUUAUUUUGUCUAUGUGUGACCUCUUUAAACAUUCAUUCAUGCUUUUGUAUAACUUCAAAACAACACAAAAUCAUUUUUGACCUUUUGUUACUCAUGAUAAUGUGUAUACUUUUAACCUAGGUUUAUGUUGAUGUACAACGAAACAUGUAUUUCUAAUCAAAUCUGACUUGACAUAACAGUGUACAAAUUUUUAUCUUGAGCAUUGUGUUCUUGCAAAGAUUAAAAUUCAUUUAUGGUCUUAUGUUCAAUGAAAAUAUGUCAGUAAGAAAUGGUGAAUUUAUUAAAUAUACAUGUAGGCAUUUUAAUAUUUAUGCUAUACCAGAAAAAUCACCAGAGGGUAAAGACCCUAAGAUAAGAAAUAUAUUAUAAAGAAUCGUAAUGUAGAAAUAUUAUAGUUAAAGGGUAGUCUUUACAGUUCUAUGUGUAAUAUUUAUGAUUUUAAGAUAUGUAGUAGGCAUAGUUUUUUCUAAAAGUCUUAAAAUAUAACACGGUUAAAGAAAAUAUACUUAGUGCCCUAUUUGACCUAAACAUUGAAAUAUUACCAAAUAAGAUAAUGGAAAAGUAUUUUCAAAAUAAAAAUCAGAAUAUUAUGGAUAUUAAUGAAGAAUUUAUGGUCAAGACAUGACAUAGUUUAUUUUUAUCUAAAGAAGAAUUAUUGAAAUUUUAUAUUUCGACUCGAAUUUGUUUGUUAAAAAUUUCUAAAACUGAAAUUUAAGAAGAUGCAGUAUGAUCGCCAAAGAGACAACUAUCCACCAAAGUUCAUAUGAAGGGGAGGCAAGCAAUAGGUUGAAAUGGAUUUUGAAAUACAGCACUACAUGAGUUUUGAAAAAGAUGAAAAGAAAUUAAAUUCAUAUUCAAUGAAACCUCAUUUGUUACCUAAUAUUUUGUAGAAAAUUGCAUUGCAAUGACUCAAGGCAAUUCCAACCUUAUCAAAAAUGUAGGUAAUAAUUCCAACAAAAUAAAAUCAGUAUUUUCUGAUUUAUUUAAGAUUAGAAACACUUGCCUUUUAAGACUUAUUCUUUAAGUAAUUUGUACUUUUUUUCUUCAAAUUUUCAUUUAUUAUACUAACAGUUAUCUCCCCCUGAAACUGUAUUGACUCCCCUUAAAAUUAAAGAUAAGUUUUUGAUAAACCAUUGUCUGUAUUAAAGUACAUCCAUGAAGAAAAAGUUCCUCUUUACCCUUAUGUUACAUAUAAUGUAUUUCUUUUUAUUUAAUAUCAUGUUGAUGAAUGUGAUUGUGCAAUUAAUUAAUCAGAAUAUUAUUAAACAUUUAUGAACAAACUUACAUUGCAAUACAUAAAUACUUUAUGUAUGUGAGGUUUAAGAAACAAAGAUUUUGAUUUAAAUUAUUUUGUAUUUUGUUUAAAAGAAAAAAAAAGAUUUUUUGUUUGUUUUCAUGUUUCAAAUAUCAGCUUUAUUUUCUAUUCUUUUAGUGAUGUUUUUACUCAUUCACCAAUAUAACAUUGUGUAUCAUCAAAAUUUAGAUGUCCAACAAAAAUUUGGUAGUCAAUGAAUAAGCAUGUAUUGUUUACAAGUAAACUUUGUUGAAGUUGCAUUUGUUCCAUGUUUUAAGCAUACAAUGUAAUAGUACUGCUCUUCUGCAAUCAAAUUAGCUUUGUGAUUUCAUUUGUUUUAAUUUUCAUUGAAGCAUGGUGUACAUGAAUUUAAAAGUCAUAUUACCGGUAGUAUUAUUUCCUCUUUAAAUAAUGCUUGAAUAUAACUUUUAGUCAAUUUACAGGCUUUACAGCGAUUCAGCUUACAUAUUUGUACAAAAUGUGAUUUUUUUUUUAUACAGGGCAGAGAUAGUCUAACAGCUUCAACUAUGGCUCCACCUUACCCAAAAGCAUUAUUUUAAUAUGCAGGAUGAUUAAAGUCUAUAAUGUUCUUUAACCACACUGACCAUUUCAUUUCUUCUAAAAAUUAAAAAAUUUCUGGCAUUUUGGAAGUUUUGACACCAAUGUCAGUGCAAAGACUAAUGUUUUUGGAAUAUUACCAUAAUCAUGCUCACUAGAGAACAAAAUAUUUAUAUCAAAAUAUUCAAAAUGUAUCAACGCAUACAAAUCUUAAAGGCAAAUUGCAGUCCUUUUUGUUUUUGUCAUUUUCAGUUCAGUAAUUUAUUACUGUAACUAAAAAUUUAUGAUCAAAUUGUAUCAGUUAAAUCAUGUUAUUAAUAAAAAUAUUUGUCCCUCGUUUUUUUGAAAAUUCAAUAAAAAAUGCAAUUUGAAAUACCGGUAGGUUAUUCAAUUGGGAAUAUCAAUUUGUGGUUUUAAGUUAAUAUUAACAAUAAUUAAUGUUAUACAUUAUUUACAGUAUUUUCAGACUACAAGAUAUUAAUGAUUUUAUUAUACACCCUAUGUUUAUAUAGGUUUAUUUUUUAUGUAAACUUUAUGAUAUCUACAUGGACUACUUUGUAAAAUGCCAGUCUGCUAUCAUUAGCUCACCUAUCUCAAAGGUGUAGUGUGAGCUAUUGCAACCAUUUGACAACUCUUUCUUAAAUUUAUGUUGAUAUAAUCUACAGUUACCAUUUAGGUCAUUUAAAAUUCAUAAUUCUUUGGACAACCAAGAGUUAACCCGACUCAUAUCUCCUGUAAUGAUGUUAUAUGAGGAUUUUAUUAUUAUUAUAAGUCGACCCCUCAUUAGGAUUCUUAUGUUUUUGAAAAUUUAGCUUUUUUUUUAUAUAUAUAAUAGCAUUGUGUCCUUGCUUGUUUUGCUAAAUAGCUUUUCUCAUGUUUUUGAAAAAGUUUCCAUUAUCAAUGGUUUGCACCAACGUUUCAAAUAUAUCUGAUAUAUAUUGGUGUAAAUUUAUGUAAAAUCUGGGAUUUUUCCCCUUGUGAUCAUGCUAAGUAAUGAAAAUAGCUUUAAUUAAAAACUUUAUUGCUAGAACAUACAUUUAGCUUUUUAUACUGUGAUAAGUGUUAGUGUACCAAUUCUGUUAACUUGAUAAACAUGUGAAUUUUACAUAUAUAUAUAUUUAUAUUAUAAUUGCAAAGAUGCAUUUAUUAUUUAAAAUAAAAUAAUUGUCAAUCAAUUACUUGUUUUAUCAUUUUCAUGUACUUUGGAUUUUUUUUUUUGGGCUACCUAUUUUCAACCAUCACAAGAAUUG
rnacentral:lncRNA from 1 species